rnacentral:rRNA from 1 species
CCACGCCGUAAACGAUGCUAACUCGUUUUUGGGGCGCAAGCUUCAGAGACCAAGCGAAAGUGAUAAGUUAGCCACUGGGGAGUACGUUCGCAAGAAUGAAACUCAAAGGAAUUGACGGGGGCCCGCACAAGCGGUGGAUUAUGUGGUUUAAUUCGAUGAUACGCGAGGAACCUUACCAAGACUUAAAUGGGAAAUGACAGGUUUAGAAAUAGAUCCUUCUUCGGACAUUUUUCAAGGUGCUGCAUGGUUGUCGUCAGCUCGUGCCGUGAGGUGUUAGGUUAAGUCCUGCAACGAGCGCAACCCCUGUCACUAGUUGCUAACAUUCAGUUGAGGACUCUAGUGAGACUGCCUACGCAAGUAGAGAGGAAGGUGGGGAUGACGUCAAAUCAUCACGGCCCUUACGUCUUGGGCCACACACGUAAUACAAUGGCCGGUACAGAGGGCAGCUACACAGCGAUGUGAUGCAAAUCUCGAAAGCCGGUCUCAGUUCGGAUUGGAGUCUGCAACUCGACUCUAUGAAGCUGGAAUCGCUAGUAAUCGCGCAUCAGCCAUGGCGCGGUGAAUACGUUCCCGGGCCUUGUACACACCGCCCGUCAAGCCAUGGAAGUUUGGGGUACCUGAAGUCGGUGACCGUAAAAGGAGCU